rnacentral:lncRNA from 10 species
CUGAGAUGUGGAUGGCAUUUUCUCCAUCUUAAAAAUGAGAAAAAAAAUAGGGCUCGGAAGCGUCAAGUAACUUGCCCAAGGACACGAGCGGAAAGUGGCGGAGCCUAAAUGACAACCUGGGCCUGCCUGUCGCAGGCUCUUUCCACCUCGGCACGAGGAGGGCGCCCGGCGUGUGCGCGCGCGCGGCCUCCUGGUGGUUCUCCCUCUGGCCUGGUGGGAACCCGCGGGGCCUUCCCGAGAGCGGCCAGGGCCCCGGAGCCCGGCUCUGCGCAGGCCGCUGCCGAGGUCCAGUUCCCGGGGGAAGGCAGCUUGUGCUCUGGGCGGAGAGCCCGUGGAGCGACUCGGGUUUAAUAGACGCGCCGGUCCUCUUCCAAGAGCCUGGAAAUCUGCAGAGGGAUCCCGCCUUUCCAGGGAAGCCGGGCUGGGUGAAACUGACAGGUCUUGGCGCGCGGAGGAAGGGGUGGCGGGGAGCCCGGCCGGCUCCCUCCCAGUCUGCGCUCGCUGGCGGCUCCCCGAGGCUCCGGGCUUGGCUCCGCGGUACCUCUGGCUGCAAACACAUCGGCCCCAGAAAACAGGCCACAAGUGCUCCAGAGUGGAAGGAAGGAGAUGCCUCCCCUGUGUGCCGUGCAUGGCCAUUCGCAUGACUGCUGGGUUCUAUUCAUCCUAGAGGGUUCAUAGACAUGAGUUCCCACCCAGCCCGCUCCUGCCUGAAGAAGGAAGACGUUCUCCCCCAGCCCAGAAAUGUGGAACCAGCCCAAAUGCCCAUCAAUCAGUGAGUGGAUAAAGAAACUGUGGUAUAUAUAUAUAUACGAUGGAAUACUACUCAGCCAUAAAAAGGAAUCAAUUAAUGGCAUUCACAACCACCUGGAUGGGAUUGGAGAUCAUUAUUCUAAGUGAAGUAACUCAGGAAUGGAAAAUCAAACAUCGUAGGUUAUCACUUAUAAGUGGAAACUAAACUAUGAGGAUACAAAGACAUAAGAAUGAUACAAUGGACUUUGGAGACUCGGGGGGAAGGGUGGAAAGGUGAUGAGGGAUAAAAGACUACAAAUUGAGUUCAGUGUGUAUUGCUUGGGUGAUGGGUGCAUCAAAAUCUCAGAAAUUGGCCAGGCGUGGUAGCUCAUGCCUGUAAUCCCAGCACUUUGGGAGGCCAAGGCAUGUGGAUCACCUGAGGUCAGGAGUUUGAGACCAACCUCGCCAACAUGGUGAAAUCCCAUUUCUACUAAAAAUACAAAAAUAUUAGCCAGGCAUGGUGGUGCAUGCCUGUAAUCCCAGCUACUCAGGAGGCUGAGGCUGGAGAAUUGCUUGAACCUGGGAGGCAGAGGUUGCAGUGAGCCAAGAUCGCUCCACCGCACUCCAGUCUGGGCAAGAAGAGCAAAAACUCCGUCUCAAAAAAAAAAAAAAAUCUCAGAAAUCACUACUAAAGAACUUCCUCAUGUAACCAAAUACCAUCUGUUCCCCAAUAACCUGUGGAAAUAAAAAAUAAAAAAUUAAGUGUCUGCUAUCUGACUGCCCAGAGUCAGUUCUCAGGAGGGAUUCAAAAGAAGAGACCAAGAGAUUCUGAUAUGAU